CCUACGGGUGGCAGCAGUAGGGAAUCUUCCACAAUGGACGAAAGUCUGAUGGAGCAACGCCGCGUGAGUGAAGAAGGGUUUCGGCUCGUAAAGCUCUGUUGGUAGUGAAGAAAGAUAGAGGUAGUAACUGGCCUUGAUUUGACGGUAAUUACUUAGAAAGUCACGGCUAACUACGAGCCAGUAGCCGCGGUAAUACGUAGGUGGCAAGCGUUGUCCGGGUUUAUUGGGCGUAAAGCGAGUGCAGGCGGUUCAAUAAGUCUGAUGUGAAAGCCUUCGGCUCAACCGGAGAAUUGCAUCAGAAACUGUUGAACUUGAGUGCAGAAGUGGAGAGUGGAACUCCAUGUGUAGCGGUGGAAUGCGUAGAUAUAUGGAAGAACACCAGUGGCGAAGGCGGCUCUCUGGGCUGCAACUGACGCUGAGGCUCGAAAGCAUGGGUAGCGAACAGGAUUAGAUACCCUAGUAGUC
rnacentral:rRNA from 1 species